UUAACGCUGGCGACGCGCCUAACACAUGCAAGUCGAGCGAGGGUCUGUACGACCUAGCGGCAGACGGGUGAGUAAUACGUAGACAAUCUGCCCUUGAAUGGAAGAUAACCCCGGCGAAAGUCGAGCUAAUACUCCAUAUAAUCCCGGAGAGGCAUCUCCCUGGGAUGAAAGCAGCAAUGCGUUCAAGGAGGAGUCUGCGACCUAUCAGCUAGUUGGCGGGGUAAUGGCCCACCAAGGCUUUGACGGGUAGCCG
rnacentral:rRNA from 1 species